GAUGAACGCUAGCGGCAGGCUUAAUACAUGCAAGUCGUGGGGCAGCAGGGUUGUAGCAAUACAAUCGCUGGCGACCGGCAAACGGGUGCGUAACACGUACGCAACCUUCCCGUUACUGUGGCAUAGCCCAGGGAAACUUGGAUUAAUACCACAUAUUAUAUUGAGGGGGCAUCCUCUUGAUAUCAAAGCUUCGGCGGUAACGGAUGGGCGUGCGGUUGAUUAGGUAGUUGGCGGGGUAACGGCCCACCAAGCCUACGAUCAAUAGCUGAUGUGAGAGCAUGAUCAGACACACGGGCACUGAGACACGGUCCCGACUCCUACGGGAGGCAGCAGUAAGGAAUAUUGGGCAAUGGACGAAAGUCUGACCCAGCCAUGCCGCGUGAAGGAUUAAGGUCCUCUGGAUUGUAAACUUCUUUUCUCUGGGGCGAAAACCAGCUAUUCUUAGCUAUUUGACAGUACCAGAGGAAUAAGCACCGGCUAACUCCGUGCCAGCCGCCGCCGUAAUAC
rnacentral:rRNA from 1 species